GAAGGUUCAGUCUGUAUGGUGGCUGGAUGGGGAAGAACCAGCUGGAAUGCAGCUGUGUCAGAUGUUUUGAUGUCAGUCAAUGUGACUGUGGUUGGCAGAAAGAAGUGCAGCUCACCGGCUUUUUACAAUCAUACCAUAACUGACAACAUGAUUUGUGCUGGGUGGAAUGGGAACAUCCAAGCUGACAGCUGUCAGGGGGAUUCUGGUGGGCCAAUACUGUGCAAUGGAGCUGUAGUUGGAGUUACAUCUUUUGGGGAUGGGUGUGGACUCAAAACCAAACCUGGCGUGUACGCUUUCCUCACCAAAGAUCACCUUGACUGGAUCAAGAAGACAAUGAACCAAUGAGAUGAUGAAUAAGCCUUGGUUGAAUGUUGCUGUUUUACUCAUUCAACCACUUUUCUUGCUCUCCUAUGUUAUACAACUUGCAUUUUGCUUCUUAAAGAUGUAUGCGCAGGCAACGAUUGAACAAAUAAAAACUGAGCUUUAGCUUGUUACAGCAAACUUUGAAACCUGUUUGUGUAAAUCACUUUAUUAAAGGA